GCUCAGGAUGAACGCUGGCGGCGUGCCUAAUACAUGCAAGUCGAGCGGACAGACAGGAGUGCUUGCACUCCUUGAAGUCAGCGGCGGACGGGUGAGUAACACGUGGGUAACCUACCUAUAAGACUGGGAUAACUUCGGGAAACCGGAGCUAAUACCGGAUAAUAUGUUUCACCUCAUGGUGAAACAGUGAAAGACGGUUUCGGCUGUCACUUAUAGAUGGACCCGCGGCGCAUUAGCUAGUUGGUGAGGUAACGGCUCACCAAGGCGACGAUGCGUAGCCGACCUGAGAGGGUGAUCGGCCACACUGGGACUGAGACACGGCCCAGACUCCUACGGGAGGCAGCAGUAGGGAAUCUUCCGCAAUGGACGAAAGUCUGACGGAGCAACGCCGCGUGAGUGAAGAAGGUUUUCGGAUCGUAAAACUCUGUUGUAAGGGAAGAACAAGUACGUUAGUAACUGAACGUACCUGACGGU
rnacentral:rRNA from 1 species